AUCAGUACUUACUGCAUGAGUUGAAAGAGGGGAUGCCCUUCAACAUAGAUGAGGAUGUAGAAAUAGGGCCAACACCUGGUCAUACAGGAAAUGAUGUGUCGGUGGUGGUGAAGAAGGCUAAUCUUGGAGUAUUAGCAGGGGUUGGGGAUUUAUUUUAUUGUGAAGGUGAUCUUUUCUCCCCCUCCCUUUGGCUAAAAAAAAAGUGAGCGACCAAAUCUCCAGGUGCAAUCAAGAUAUACCAUAUUGGAGAUGACUGACUUUAUCAUACC